UCAACUCGAACCCCGCCAUUCCCAUCCGGGCCCGCCACUUCCCAAACACUUCACAUCUUUCAACGCGGUCCCUCCCUUCGCAAGCGACGGAGUUCGCGAGCUUGCGACUCAGCGCCUCCUCCGCCUUGGCUCGGUCCGGGUGGUCCUUCGCCACCGCCUCGAUCGACUCCAAUAGCGCUCCGUAAUACGCGCAACACUCGUUCACGCGCGCCAUGAACGGCGCGGUGUUGGUGUUCAGCUCCUGCUCCACCAGCGUCACCACGCGCGGCGCGAGUCCCUUCACGCGCCGCAGGAGCUCAUCCCUUGGGUUGUCCGUGGAGACGCUCUCGUCCGGCAUGCUGUACAGCUUGAACGCGAAGUUCACGGCGAUCGGCUCGUCCGGCUCGCAGCCGAGCGACUCCCGGUUCAGCUCGCUGAGCUUGUGACCCACCACGUUGAAUUCCAACCCCACGCGCAGCUCCUUCGCCACUUGAUUCAGAUUCUCACGGACUGUUCUCAGCCUCUCCUCGCCUCCGCCGUUAUCAGCCACGGUGGUGAUCUUCACCGCCGAGGGCUUCCCAUUCUGGCGCCUGGAGAGCGCCUGCAGGAGGUGCAUGUACUGGCCGC
rnacentral:lncRNA from 1 species